rnacentral:tRNA from 1 species
GGGAAUGUAGAUCAGUUGGUUAGAUCAUCUGCCUGUCACGCAGAAGGCCGCGAGUUCGAUUCUCGUCAUUCCCGCCA